rnacentral:lncRNA from 11 species
GAGGAGGAAGAGAAGAAGACGAGGAAGAGGAGGAAGAAGAAGGGGAUCCCCCUAAUGUCGCCCCCUUCUUCUUCUUCUUCCCUUGAGAGAAAAAAGUUAUUAUUUCUCUCCUUCCGUUCUCUCUCCCCGCAAAUCCAGCCCGAGACCCUCCUCGGGGCAGGGAAUAAGUUUCCCAAGUUGCGGCCUCCUUUGCCUCUUCCUCCUCGUCCUUCCUCUCCUUCUUCUCCCUUCAGCCCCGAAAGCACCCUCACAGGAGGGAGGAAGGGAGGGACAAAAUGGACAGAGGGAAGAAGGGGAGGAAGGGCAGCCGGCGAGUAACGGUCCUCGGCCUGAGGGAGAGCCAGAGCCAGAGCCAGAGCGAGAGCGGAGGCACCGCUAGGCGGGCGACGGCAGCACAGCACAGCCCAGCACAGCCCAGUGGCUGCUCGGCCGCCGAUGCCGCCGGAACCUCGUUGCCACGGGAGACCGGGCCCGCUUUACGGCAGCGCGUCCGUUCGAACCAGCGGAGAGGGAAAAGUUUUCAGGCCUGGCAGGGAGCAAUCUGGAUGCCACCCAUUGGACUACUUGAAGCUCCAAACAGUCUUCAAAGGCAACCCCAAGUAGAGCACGUUGCAGUAAUCUGUUCGAGAUGCAAGAAGAGCGUGGAUCACCCUGGCCAAGUCUGGCUUCUCAAGGUACGGGUGCAGCUUGCGUACAAGCUUUAAUUGUGCCAAAGCUCGUCUGGCCACUGCCAAGACCUGAGGUUCCAGGCUCAGUGAUGAAUUCAGGAGAACUCCCAAGCUGCAGACCUGUGAUUUCAGGGGGAGUGUCACCCCGUCCAGCACAGGCUGUAACCCUAUACUCUGUUCAGCCUUUUGACUGACUAGGAGUACCUCUGUCCUGUCUGGAUUCUAUUUCAAUUUGUUCGCCCUCAUCCAGACCGUCACAGCUGCCAAGCACCAGUUCAGGACCUGGAUAACUUCCUUAGCAGCAGGUGGAAAGGAGUGAUAGAGUUGGACGUCAUCUGCAUACAGAUGACAUCGAAUUCCAAAACUCUGGAUGAUCUCUCCCAGUGGCUUCAUGUAGAUGUUAAACAGCAUGGGAGACAGUACUGAACCCUGCGGGACCCCACAGAACAAAGGCUGCGGGGCCAAGCAGGUGUCCCCCAACAACACCUGAGUGCAAUCCUCCAGGAAGGACUGGAGGCACUGUAAAACAGUGCCUCCAAGUCCCAUUCCCGCAAGGAUACCAUGGUCUAUGGUAUCGAAGACUGAGAGGUCCAAGAGAACCAUCAGGGACACACUCCCCACUGAAGUUCCCUGCGUAGAUCGUCCAACUGAGACCAAGGCUGUCUCAGUUCCAUAACCUGGUCUGAAGCCAGACUGCAACGGAUCUAGAUAAUCAGUUUUUUCAAGAAUACCUGAAGUGAGGCAACCACACAUUCCAAGACUUUGCCCAACAAGGGGAGAUUGGAAACUGGCCAAAUGUUCUUCAGUUGAGUGGGAUCCAAUGAUGAGUUUUUUCAACAGCGGUUUCAUCACAGCCUCUUUUUGGCUGGCUGGAAUCUUGCCUUCCUGUAAGGAGGCAUUAACCACCAACUUCACCCAAACCCCCUCUGAUCUGCUUUAUCAGCCAGGAUGGGCAGGGCUCCAGGAUGCAUUUGGUCACUCCUGCCUCUCCAAGGAUCUUGUCCAGAUCCUCGGGUUGCACUAAUUGAAAUAAAUCCAUUGAAAUCAGACAAACAGAUGAUCAUUCUACAUCUUCAGAGACUGCAGUUAAAGUGAUGUCCAGGUUGGAACAGAUCAGAGCAACUUUAUUCGCAAAAAAUUGAGCAAAUGCUACACAGCUAGCUGGCCAAUGGUCAGUGAUCCCGUCUUACGAGGUGGAAUUUAACAAGCUUCUGACCAUUCAAAACAGCUUGGCUGGAUGAUUCCUUGCAGACAAAAUGUUGGCUGCAAUGAAAGCUUUCUUUGCGGCCUCCACUGCCAUGGAGUAAGUCUUUAUAUAGGCACAUACCUGUGUCCGAUCUGAUUCGCUACAAUGUGAACGCCACACACGCUCAGAUAACCUAAACAUGAUAUUUUAAAAUUAUUUUGUGUUUUUGCAGCCACAGAACCCUCACAUUUUAAUCAUUAAUUUUUGUGUAUUGUAAUCUACGUAUUUUGUCAAAAUCCGUUUUAAUAUGUAUAUUUUAUAUAAUGUUUAUGAUUGUUAUGUGUUUUUAGAAAUGUAACCCCCCCCGAGGAGAGGCAGGUAAUAAAAAUUAUUAUUAUUAUUAUUAUUAUUAUUAUUAUUAUUAUUAUUAUUAUUAUGCAUGUCAUGUCCCUUUUUAAUAUCAUUAUUAAGCUUGAGUGCUUAGGCCCAGAACUUUUCCAUACUUUGGAUUCCCCCCCCCCCCCCCCCGAUUUUGAAAUACUUACAUAUAGAUAAUCUUGGAGAUGGGGGCCAAACCUAAACAUGACAUUCAUUUAUUCUUCAUAUACACCUUGUAGAUCUAGUCUGGAGUAACUUUUUACACAAUAGUUUCAUACUUUUGUUCAUGAAACCAAGUUUGUGUUCACUGAGCUA